rnacentral:rRNA from 1 species
GCAAGUCGAGCGAAUGACGAGGAGCUUGCUCCUCUGAUUUAGCGGCGGACGGGUGAGUAACACGUGGGUAACCUGCCUGUAAGACGGGGAUAACUCCGGGAAACCGGAGCUAAUACCGGAUGAUAACGAGAAGCGCCUGCUUCUUUUUUGAAAGUCGGUUUCGGCUGACGCUUACAGAUGGGCCCGCGGCGCAUUAGCUAGUUGGUGAGGUAACGGCUCACCAAGGCGACGAUGCGUAGCCGACCUGAGAGGGUGAUCGGCCACACUGGGACUGAGACACGGCCCAGACUCCUACGGGAGGCAGCAGUAGGGAAUCUUCGGCAAUGGACGAAAGUCUGACCGAGCAACGCCGCGUGAGCGAUGAAGGCCUUCGGGUCGUAAAGCUCUGUUGUCAGAGAAGAACAAGUACCGGAGUAACUGCCGGUACCUUGACGGUACCUGACCAGAAAGCCACGGCUAACUACGUGCCAGCAGCCGCGGUAAUACGUAGGUGGCAAGCGUUAUCCGGAAUUAUUGGGCGUAAAGCGCGCGCAGGCGGUUUCUUAAGUCUGAUGUGAAAGCCCACGGCUCAACCGUGGAGGGUCAUUGGAAACUGGGAGACUUGAGUGCAGGAGAGAAAAGUGGAAUUCCACGUGUAGCGGUGAAAUGCGUAGAGAUGUGGAGGAACACCAGUGGCGAAGGCGGCUUUUUGGCCUGUAACUGACGCUGAGGCGCGAAAGCGUGGGGAGCAAACAGGAUUAGAUACCCUGGUAGUCCACGCCGUAAACGAUGAGUGCUAGGUGUUGGGGGGUUCCACCCUCAGUGCUGACGUUAACACAUUAAGCACUCCGCCUGGGGAGUACGGCCGCAAGGCUGAAACUCAAAGGAAUUGACGGGGGCCCGCACAAGCAGUGGAGCAUGUGGUUUAAUUCGAAGCAACGCGAAGAACCUUACCAGGUCUUGACAUCCUCUGACCACUUGAGAGAUCAAGCUUUCCCCUUCGGGGGACAGAGUGACAGGUGGUGCAUGGUUGUCGUCAGCUCGUGUCGUGAGAUGUUGGGUUAAGUCCCGCAACGAGCGCAACCCUUGACCUUAGUUGCCAGCAUUCAGUUGGGCACUCUAAGGUGACUGCCGGUGACAAACCGGAGGAAGGUGGGGAUGACGUCAAAUCAUCAUGCCCCUUAUGACCUGGGCUACACACGUGCUACAAUGGGUGGUACAAAGGG